UACAGGGGGUGCAAGCGUUGCUCGGAAUUAUUGGGCGUAAAGCGCACGUAGGCGGUUCGUUAUGUCGGAUGUGAAAGCCCUUGGCUCAACUGAGGAAGUGCAUCCGAAACUGGCGGGCUAGAGUAUGUAAGAGGGUCGCGGAAUUCCCGGUGUAGAGGUGAAAUUCGUAGAUAUCGGGAGGAACACCGGUGGCGAAGGCGGCGACCUGGGACAAUACUGACGCUGAGGUGCGAAAGCGUGGGGAGCAAACAGG
rnacentral:rRNA from 1 species